CUUUCCGUUUCAUACGGCACCUCCUUCGCUUCUCGCCCCAGUGCAAUAAAUGUUAUCGUCUUAUCUCGCCGUGGCCGCUCGAGACGCUGGCUGGCUGUUGGCGACGGUUACAGGUACUUUGAGAAUUUGAGUAGGUGCUCAAUAUGGCGGAGGAGAACACAUCACAAAUGAAAGAGGAGAUGCCAGAGCUUGCACCUUUCGACCCUACGAAGAAAAAGAAGAAGAAGAAGAACGUGGUGAUUCAGGACCCUACAGAUGAGGUGGAUAAGUUGGCUGAGAAGACCGAGAAUUUAACAGUUGCUGAGUCUGGUGAGCCAAGUUUUGCUGGGAUGAAAAAGAGAAAGAAG